CCGUGUCCCUUCCCCCCCCCCCCCCGCCCCGUUUGGGAAGCCGAGGGGCGGGAGGGGGCGGCGGGCCGGGUCCCUGCCCCCCGGGCGCGCUGCCGGGGCGGCCGCCCGCCUCAUGCCGCAGGAAUGCGCGGAGGUAUGCGCCAGUUUCCAGAAGUGGAUCCCCUUCUUUGCUGGAGCAGAGCAGCGCAUAUAUCACCCGGUGGCAGCAGUCCACCUUCCCUGCAGUUUCGUAACCGCUUACGAGGGUAAAUUGAGAGUUGGGAACAGCCCUCUAUUAAGUAGCAGAUUGAGAAGAGGCUCUUCCCACUUGGAGAAGGCAAGUCUUCCCAGACGGACCCCUCGCACCGGGAGCUACAGUAAUCGAGGCGCCUCCUCUGCGCUCAGCUAUCGCCGCUGCUUCUGCCCCUCCUUCGCCGCCGCUGCUACUUGCUGCUCCCUCCACAAGAUUCAUUCAUGUUGUUGUGAUCUGAAAGGGCAGAAAUGAAGACAGCGCUGUGCUCGGCAGUCGCUGCUCUGUGUGCAGCCGCCCUCCUCUCCUCCAUCGAGGCUGAAGGUAACCUUCCCCUCCCUGCCCCCUUGCCCCCCGGUGCCCUGCUGACCAGCAAACCUCCCAACCAGCCUUGAGCUACCGUCUCUCUUCCUCUCUGUUUUUGAGUGUAACUCCUUCACCUUCUCUCUUUCUCUCCUUCAGAGAAACGCCUCUCCUUCCUUGCCCAGCUCCUUCUGUGCUCUGUUUCUCCCGGCUAGUCAGCCGGACCGUAGCUCCCUCUCUCUCUGUCUCUCUGGUGUGCUGUCCACACAUCCCCACAGACAGGACGCCGGCCGGCACGGCACGGCACGGCACGGCACGGCACGGCACGGCCACCCGGGCUCAGCGCCCCGAGGAGCCCGCUGCCACUGCCGCCGCCGGCGGGCAGCCCGGCACGGCCGGGGCCCUGCGGCACUGCCCCGCUGACGGACCGAGAACGGCCAGGCUCUAUGCUGUAGAGUGCCCGUUUAGUUGUGUUGAGAGAGGAAACGAAAAAAACCCACCACCCAACAACCCGCAGCUUUGAAAAUAAAAUGCUCCAACAGAGUCUGUCUCUCUGCGCCUGUGUGUUUUGU
rnacentral:lncRNA from 1 species